AUUGAACGCUGGCGGCAGGCCUAACACAUGCAAGUCGAGCGAGCGGCGGACGGGUGAGUAAUGUCUGUGAAACUGACUGAUGGGGAGGGAUAACAACUAGGAACGGUAGCUAAUCCCGCAUACCAUCAGAUGUGCACAGCUGGGAUUAGGUAGUAGGUGGGGUAACGGCUAACCUAGGCGACGAUCCCUAGCUGGUCUGAGAGGAUGACCAGCCACACUGGAACUUAGACACGGUCCAGACUCCUACGGGAGGCAGCAGUGGGGAAUAUUGCACAAGGGGCGCAAGCCUGAUGCAGCCAUGCCGCGUGUGUGAAGAAGGCCUUCGGGUUGUAAAGCACUUUCAGCGGGGAGGCGUUACCAGCAGAAGAAGUACCGGCUAACUCCGUGCCAGCAGCCGCGGUAAUAC
rnacentral:rRNA from 1 species